rnacentral:rRNA from 1 species
GACAAACGCUGGCGGCGUGCUUAACACAUGCAAGUCGAGCGAUGAAGCUCCUUCGGGAGUGGAUUAGCGGCGGACGGGUGAGUAACACGUGGGCAACCUGCCUUGUAGAGAGGAAUAGCCAUUCGAAAGGAUGAUUAAUACCUCAUAAUAUUGUAGCUUCGCAUGAAGCAACAAUCAAAGGAGCAAUCCACUACAAGAUGGGCCCGCGGCGCAUUAGCUAGUUGGUGAGGUAACGGCUCACCAAGGCGACGAUGCGUAGCCGACCUGAGAGGGUGAUCGGCCACAUUGGGACUGAGACACGGCCCAGACUCCUACGGGAGGCAGCAGUGGGGAAUAUUGCACAAUGGGGGAAACCCUGAUGCAGCAACGCCGCGUGAGUGAUGACGGUCUUCGGAUUGUAAAGCUCUGUCUUUAGGGACGAUAAUGACGGUACCUAAGGAGGAAGCCACGGCUAACUACGUG